CUUCAACGAGCCCAGCAGCAGCGGCCGUUCCCGGUUCUGGCCGUAGGUCGCGAUGAGCGCCUCGGCCUC
rnacentral:antisense_RNA from 1 species